UUGAAAAUACCAUCUUUAAGGUUAUAAAACCACAGCUUAAGGUAUGUGCAUCAUGGAAAUCAAAGCCAAUGUUUUGCAGUUCAAAGAGUUCCCCCUUUUCCAGCAGCUCUGAUCCCUCCACACCACUGCCUGACUUCAGAAACCCCCACAUGCUGACCUUGCGAGAAGAGAGAGUUCUUCUACCUUCCUAAUGAAAUGUAAUCUUUCGGUUGCUCUGAAACAUGUACUCACAAGACACAUCCAAAGGCAGAAUUACCUGAGUUGGAAGGGACCCACAAGGACCAUCGAGUCCAACUCCUGUCCCUGCACAGCACAACCCCAACAUUCACACCGUGGGGCUGAGGGUGUUGGCCAAAGGCUUCUGGAAUAUUGUCAGGCUUUGUGCCGUGACUGCUCCCUGGGAGCUGUUCCAGUGCUCCAUCACCCUCUGCGGAAAGACUAACUUCCAACCUAGCUCUCCCCUGGCACAUUGGCACUAUCAUCACCAGCUGUCAUGGCUUUGCUCGUCGCGCACGUUCAGCAGUGUGGUGGCAAGGGGAACCUCAUUACCGUCAUUCUGAAGUCAUAGCCUAAUCAUAGAGCAAGUACAUCAGCACCACUCCAGCGCGAAGCCCUCUCGCAGAGAACACAGAAUGAGGUCAUGAGCGGCCCGCUGACUUUAGUGCCAGGGGCAAGACAAAGGUGCGCUGCGUCCUGCCGAGGUAAUGACUUCAAGGAUGCAAUCAGCAGAGAAAUGUAAUCACCCAGUGAAUGCUAUAAAAGAGCCAUUUCAGCCCUGGAAGCUGCUCGGAGGUCUCCCCAGAGCCUUCUCUUCUCCAGGCUGAACAACCCCAACUCUCUCAGCCUGUCCUCACAUGGGAGGUGCUCCAGCCUUCAGUUCAUCUCUGUGGCCCCCUCUGGCCUCACUCCAACAGCUCCAUGGCCUUCCUGUGCUGAGGACACCAGAACUGAACGCAGGGCUCCAGGUAGGGUCUCACCAGAUUGGAUCUGAUG